UACGAAGGGGGCUAGCGUUGCUCGGAAUUACUGGGCGUAAAGGGCGCGUAGGCGGCACUGUUAGUCAGGCGUGAAAGUCCUGGGCUCAACCUGGGAACUGCGCUUGAUACGGCAGAGCCAGAGGAUGGAAGAGGCUCGCGGAAUUCCCAGUGUAGAGGUGAAAUUCGUAGAUAUUGGGAAGAACACCGGUGGCGAAGGCGGCGAGCUGGUCCAUUACUGACGCUGAGGCGCGACAGCGUGGGGAGCAAACAGG
rnacentral:rRNA from 1 species